rnacentral:rRNA from 1 species
UAUCAGUAAGCGGAGGAAAAGAAACUAACCAGGAUUCCCCCAGUAACGGCGAGUGAACGGGGAAUAGCCCAGCAUCGAAGCCUACGGUCAAUUGACUGUAAGGCACUGUGAUGUUACGGGUUGUGCCUGGGGCUGCUGAUUAACUUGAAGUCCAAUAUUGAAAGUGGCUGUAGUGAUACUGCCCAUAGCGGGUGAUAGGCCCGUGCAAGUUAAUCGUUAGAAUUGUGAAGCAGCCUCUAGAUGCACAAUCUGUGGAGUCGGAUUGCUUGAGAGUGCAGUCCAAAGUUGGUGGUAAACUCCAUCAAAGGCUAAAUACUGGCAUGAGUCCGAUAGCGAACAAGUACCGUGAGGGAAAGUUGAAAAGUACUCUGAAGAGAGAGUAAAUAGUACGUGAAACCACAUAGAGGUAAACGGGUGGAGUCCAGCUGCGUGCGCAGAGGAUUUUGCUGGUGUGUGCUAGUGUAAGCGGUGAACUGCCGUGCUUAGCUUGUCAACAAUGACGCUUGAGGCUUCGGUCUCAUUCAUGUUCUAUCGGGUAGAUAGCAUGAGCUUUGCACGUGUGUUCGUUUGCAUGCCAGUGACCUUCCUUUGCGCUGACAUCACAAUCAAUAGAACUGCUAGUAUGUCAUGACCACACCGUCAGAUGGCGAGCCUUGGUGUUCACCUCUGUCGGCAUGGCAGGUGGCUUGCAUGUCGCGCUUGCGUGGCAUGUGGGUUUAACUAUGGCUGCGGCCUGCCGGUCAUGAUUUUAGUGUUUGACUAUGCAGUGUAUUGGUCACAGUGUGUGUAUGCGCCCCCAGUUGUGCGUGUGUGUGGCUAGGACCAUGCUGAGUUAUGUCCCAAAAGGCGUGCUUGGUGUGGCGCUUGGUCGGAGCAUGCACAACGAUGGGUGUUUCGCGUGAAUUGUGGUGUUGUGGUAGACGUUCCACCUGA